CGGAAUAGACUAACCUCGUGAGUGUGACAGGACGGGGGAGCCCAAGUAUCACACUCCACCACGAGUGCAUGGCCUGUCAUAGCUCGACUAUCAUUCUAAAGUCCAGAUGCGUCAAGUCUAGAAGAUAACAUGAUAUGAUCUAUGUUAUUUUUAUAUUGCUUUGCUUGUAUGUGCUCUGCUUGAGUGGAAUGCAGUAUGUAUAUGUUGAUAUAAUUGUAUGCUUUUUAUAUAAUUAGUCCACCC
rnacentral:lncRNA from 1 species